rnacentral:rRNA from 1 species
UACGUAGGGUGCGAGCGUUAAUCGGAAUUACUGGGCGUAAAGCGUGCGCAGGCGGCUUUGCAAGACAGAUGUGAAAUCCCCGGGCUCAACCUGGGAACUGCAUUUGUGACUGCAAGGCUAGAGUACGGCAGAGGGGGAUGGAAUUCCGCGUGUAGCAGUGAAAUGCGUAGAUAUGCGGAGGAACACCCAUGGCGAAGGCAAUCCCCUGGGCCCGUAAUUACG